rnacentral:rRNA from 1 species
GUUACUGCUAUCGAGGUUCGACUAAGCCAUGCGAGUCGAAUGUAGCAAUACAUGGCGAACUGCUCAGUAACACGUGGACAACCUGCCCUUAGGUUGGGUAUAAACCCGGGAAACUGGGUAUAAUACCCGAUAGGUCUCGAUUGCUGGAAUGCAUCGAGAUUUAAAGCUCCGGCGCCUAAGGAUGGGUCCGCGGCCUAUCAGGUAGUAGUGGGUGUAGCGUACCUACUAGCCUACGACGGGUACGGGUUGUGAGAGCAAGAGCCCGGAGAUGGAUUCUGAGACACGAAUCCAGGCCCUACGGGGUGCAGCAGGCGCGAAGACUUUACAAUGCUGGCAACAGCGAUAAGGGAACCUCGAGUGCCAGGUUACAAAUCUGGCUGUCGAGAUGCCUAAAAAGCAUUUCAUAGCAAGGGCCGGGCAAGACCGGUGCCAGCCGCCGCGGUAACACCGGCGGCUCGAGUGGUAACCGUUAUUAUUGGGUCUAAAGGGUCUGUAGCCGGCCGGAUAAGUCUCUUGAGAAAUCUGGCAGCUUAACUGUCAGGCUUUCAGGAGAUACUGUCUGGCUCGAGGCCGGGAGAGGUGAGAGGUACUUCAGGGGUAGGGGUGAAAUCUUGUAAUCCUUGAAGGACCACCAGUGGCGAAGGCGUCUCACCAGAACGGACCUGACGGCAAGGGACGAAAGCUAGGGGCACGAACCGGAUUAGAUACCCGGGUAGUCCUAGCCGUAAACGAUACUCGCUAGGUGUCGGCCACGGUGCGACCGUUGUCGGUGCCGUAGGGAAGCCGUGAAGCGAGCCACCUGGGAGGUACGGCCGCAAGGCUGAAACUUAAAGGAAUUGGCGGGGGAGCACCACAACGGGUGGAGCUUGCGGUUUAAUUGGAUUCAACGCCGGAAAUCUUACCGGGACCGACAGCAAUAUGAAGGCCAGGCUGAAGACUUUGCCGGAUUAGCUGAGAGGUGGUGCAUGGCCGUCGUCAGUUCGUACUGUGAAGCAUCCUGUUAAGUCAGG